UUCCUACGGGAGGCAGCAGUGGGGAAUAUUGCACAAUGGGGGAAACCCUGAUGCAGCAACGCCGCGUGAGUGAAGAAGUCAUUUGUGAUGUAAAGCUCUAUCAGCAGGGAAGAAAAUGACGGUACCUGAGUAAGAAGCCCCGGCUAACUACGUGCCAGCAGCCGCGGUAAUACGUAGGGGGCGAGCGUUGUCCGGAAUCACUGGGCGUAAAGGGCGCGUAGGCGGUUUAAUAAGUCAGUGGUGAAAACUGAGGGCUCAACCCUCAGCCUGCCACUGAUACUGUUAGACUUGAGUAUGGAAGAGGA
rnacentral:rRNA from 1 species